rnacentral:rRNA from 1 species
AGUGAACGCUGGCGGCGUGCCUAAUACAUGCAAGUCGAACGGAGUGGCGCACGGGUGAGUAAUGUAUAGCUAAUCUGCCCUACACUAGAGGACAACAGUUGGAAACGACUGCUAAUACUCUAUAGUGUAGGAUGAGGCUAUUUUGGGUCAGCUAGUUGGUGAGGUAAUGGCUCACCAAGGCUAUGACGCAUAACUGGUCUGAGAGGAUGAUCAGUCACGCUCAAACUGAGACACGAGAUAGACUCCUGCGGUAGGCAGCAGUAGGGAAUAUUGCUCAAUGGGGGAGACGCGGAAGCGGCAACGCCGCGUGGAGGAUGACACUUUUCGGAGCGUAAACUCCUUUUGUUAGGGAGGCGGUACCUAACGAAUAAGCACCGGCUAACUCCGUGCCAGCAGCCGCGGUAAUAC